UAGGGAAUCUUCCACAAUGGACGCAAGUCUGAUGGAGCAACGGCCGCGUGAGUGAAGAAGGUUUUCGGACCGUAAAGCUCUGUUGUUGGUGAAGAAGGAUAGAGGUAGUAACUGGCCUUUAUUUGACGGUAAUCAACCAGAAAGUCACGGCUAACUACGUGCCAGCAGCCGCGGUAAUACGUAGGUGGCAAGCGUUGUCCGGAUUUAUUGGGCGUAAAGCGAGCGCAGGCGGAAGAAUAAGUCUGAUGUGAAAGCCCUCGGCUUAACCGAGGAAUUGCAUCGGAAACUGUUUUUCUUGAGUGCAGAAGAGGAGAGUAGAACUCCAUGUGUAGCGGUGGAAUGCGUAGAUAUAUGGAAGAAUACCAGUGGCGAAGGCGGCUCUCUGGUCUGCAACUGACGCUGAGGCUCGAAAGCAUGGGUAGCGAACAGGAUUAGAUACCCUGGUAGUCCAUGCCGUAAACGAUGAGUGCUAAGUGUUGGGAGGCUUCCGCCUCUCAGUGCUGCAGCUAACGCAUUAAGCACUCC
rnacentral:rRNA from 1 species